AAAUAUCUUCAUAUUCCUGCAAAAGAGACAUAAAAACACUAGGCAAAGAGUUAUGAAGGUUAGUCAAAGAUAAACAGUUUUGCCUAAAUCGAAUAAUGAUGCAAGGUUGUUUAGUGAGUAAGGCUCGUCGCACAUCUUUUCCACUCGCAUAAAAAUUAUGAACCACUCUUUUUUUUCUCACAAGAGGAUGCACUCACCAUUGGGUCAUUAUUAAUUUGGCUUUUUUCACUAGAGACCUCUUUUCUCUCAGCCUUUUUUGAAUUUUGUGUCUUACUUCCCAU
rnacentral:lncRNA from 1 species